GUGACACACGGGAGCCCUCCGACAAGCUGUCAGUUUCCCAGUGACUUUGCAAGUGGAGAAUGGAACCACCAGGCUCCGCAGGAUGCUGCGGCCGGAUUCAACUAGGAGAACUUCUUCCAUUCUUUAAAGUAGUUUGAAAUUGUCCAGUGUUACUUUCACAUCAGUAAGGAUAUCGCCUUGUCAAGAUAUGUGCACAUGAAAAGGGGUAUACAGUUUUACUCUACUGAGACGGAUCCUUCCCUUUCUCCCUCUGUCCUCUACUACGUGCCAACCAUCAUUGUGUAUAGACGGAGACCUUGAUCUCUGAGCUGCAUUAUUGCUAGGAAGCACAAUUUGGCAAAGCACGUGCUCUGAAAAGCUGUUUUGCACAUGGAGGAUUAAGUGGGAAGGCCCGGGAGUCCCCAUUCCUGUCUGCUGUAGAGCUUCAACCUGGUGGAUUCCACAGGUCAAGCUAUCUCUAUUGAACAAGGAACAAGGAACCUUUUAUGAAGCUUGAACAAUGAAGACACUUAGACUAAAAUACAAAUCACCAGCAUAUAGAUAACUGUUAGUUAACAAUGUAUUAUUCUUACUUGAGAUUUAUUUUUUGAAGCAUAAAUU